rnacentral:rRNA from 1 species
UUGCCANNGCGUGAUGGCGGGGACUCAUAGGAUACUGCCGGGGUCAACUCGGAGGAAGGUGGGGACGACGUCAAAUCAUCAUCCCCCUUAUGUCUUGGGCUUCACGCAUGCUAUAAUGGCCGGUACAAAGGGUAGCGAUACUGUGAGGUGAGAGCUAAUCCCAACCAAGCCGGUCUCAUUUCGGAUUGGGGUCUGCCACUCAACCCCAUGAAUUCGGAGUCACUAGUAAUCGCACAUCAGACAACGCUGUCGUGAAUACAUUCCCCGGCCUUGUACAUACCGCCCGUCAAUUCACCAAAGUUAGGUAGGUCCCGAAGCCGGUGGCCUACCCCUUGUGGGGGGAGGCCGACNAAGGUGGGAGGUGCGAUUGGGACUGUUUCGUCACAAGGUAGUCGUACCGGAAGGUGCUGCUGGAUC